GUGGGUUUCGUAAUAUUUUUGGUUAUGAAAAUUUAAAAUAUUAUAGUUGAAGUUAUAAAAUUUAUGUGAAUUCGUUUGAGAGUAAAAUUUUCGAAACUUUGAACUUUAAAUUGAAUUUCAACGAACAAAGGAUGAAAGGACAAUUCUCCGAUGAAAAACUUGCUUUUUCGUCAAAAUUACUCGACAACUUCUAUGGACAUCUUCCACGAAGUUUAAUUAUCAGUUUUAAUUGCGAUAAUUGGUGUGAUUAUUUGAAGAAUCAUCGUUCUUUAUACAAGAACGCGAGAGAAAAAAAAGUGUAAGGAAUCAAUCGAUCAAAAGAUGCAAUUAUCAAGUGGCCAUCCGUUUCAUCUGGAUCAUUCAACCCGCGUCUAAUUGAGGCUAAUUACGAAUGAUUAUUCGACUGACGACUUUAUCCAUCGAGGAUGUUUGCAAUUUUCGUUUAACGUGAAAAGAAAUGGUUCCUCUCCAAGAUCAUCAUGCUGAAGGUUAUCAUCGGAUGCGGUUGGUAUAUACCGUUACGAUCCAACGAGAAUUCCUCCGUACGAUUCUGUUAAUCUUGGAUAAUUGCAUGUACAGCCUCACAAAACCCUUUGGAAAUUAUUCUCGAAUGAGAUACGAAAUAUUUUUAAGAGGAAACUAUUAUAGAAGCUAACCUGUCGAACAUUCCUGAUCAAAUGCUGCAUCGUGUGCUUGUUAAUCAUCGUAAAUUAAUGUGUCGUGGAAUAUGAGUGAAAAGAAAUUGGAAAAUUGCACGGUGAGUGGCGUUGGUGUUCAAUGUUGUUGUAUAUACGCUCUCGAAAAAUUGAGGUUAAGAAAGAGACUUUUUGAAAGAUUCUUUUUUUAAGAUUAAUUUAUAUAAUAAAUUUGUAUAAUAAAAUCUAUCGAAUACUUUAUAAAUAUUUUUCUGCAAAAAAUUAUUGCAGAAAUAUGUUAAUUGAUAUACAAGAAUGCAAGAUAGAAUGCAACAUUGGAUAUGAGGUUGAUUCUGACAAAAGAAGAAUAAAAAUUGAGAAUAUUUCAAAUAUAUAUGUGUUUAUCUCGCAAAUUCAAAUACGAAAUAUCAUCAUCAACGUAAAACAACAUGAAACGAAAAAUCGACAGGUGGUCUUAAUGACGAUAAGCUACCCCAUUUCGGUCCAACACCGCAAAGAUAAUAAAAGCUCUUCCGUAUGUACAAAGUAAGUAUGUACGGUAGCCAGGACGAAUCGCAUCACGUCGACGACUUUGUAAUUUUCGAGGAAGAUAGAAAAGGAAAGUUGCAUGGAUGCAUUUUGCACGAAAGGGAAAGUAGUUCACCAGAAUCGAAUCUAGAAGGCCGACUAUAUAACUUCCGGUGGAUUUAGACACGAUCGAAACGGUAUCCGUUUAAUUGGAGGAGAGCUAAUUUAGAAGAAUACGCGAGGGAAUUCAGUAAUGAAUCUGAACCACGACUAUCGAUAGAUUCCUUGCCCGUGUAUGGCCGACUUCUCAAUGGGAGAAAGUUAUCGAGAAGGCUUGUUUGGCCUUCCGCGUUAUAAAGGUUCGAUGGAAUAGCGAAUACUAACGUUGGACAAAUAUCAAAAUCGCUCUAGAGGAAUUUUUCCUUGUAAGAAGAAGAAGAAGAAGAAGAAAAUAAACUGGAAUUCUUCUAAAUACUUCUUUCGGUCUAUAGAAACUUUUUGUAUAAAAUUUAUAUAAUGGAAUCUUUAAAAGAUAUUUUUGAAGAAGCUAAAGAUUAUUUCAAUGAAUAGAACAUCGAAUGCAUCGUUGGUUGCCCUCGGAAGUAUCGACGAUCAUUCUUGACCGGAUGACGCAUGGAUUUUUACCGUAUUUACAUUCACUUGAUAUUUCUCUGUCUCUUUUCUCAUUCAGACAAUGAUGCGGCUAAUUCAGCUGUGAAUGCACGUACGCCGCGACGGAUCCUCCUCGUUUCCUCUCGAAUCCUUAAAGGCUCUGCGCAAUACGAGUUUACUAUGAUAGUCAUGAAUCAUUGAGCACCGUGCACUGAUUUUUCUUACCGGGGAAAUUCUCGUAUUUAA